rnacentral:rRNA from 1 species
CAGCCGCCGCGGGAAUACGAAGGGUGCAAGCGUUACUCGGAAUUACUGGGCGUAAAGCGUGCGUAGGUGGUGGUUUAAGUCCGUUGUGAAAGCCCUGGGCUCAACCUGGGAAUUGCAGUGGAUACUGGGUCACUAGAGUGUGGUAGAGGAUAGUGGAAUCUCCGGUGUAGCAGUGAAAUGCGUAGAGAUCGGAAGGAACAUCUGUGGCGAAGGCGACUAUCUGGGCCAACACUGACACUGAGGCACGAAAGCGUGGGGAGCAAACAGGAUUAGAUACCCCCGUAGUCCCUGUCUCUUAUAU